CACGCAGCCACCACGGGGCGGGGCGGCUCUGCCAGCGUCGCGCUGGGCCGGGCGGGCUGGGCCGCGCCGCAGCGCCGGCGGCUGAUUCGGAGGCGGCGGCGGGGGAUGGACGAGGGUACCUGCGGCGGCCAUCGGCGACGGGCGGCCCAGCUUUAAGCACCUUGAGCUCACAUCACCCUCCUCCCAAGAGACUGAAACAAACGGAGUGUCAUGAGCUGUCCUUUAUUUCACCUGCAACCUCUGGAAAAAAAAAAAUAAAAACAGUAAUUAGGCCAGAGGCCUAAACUCCUGCCCUGUGAUUAAGGCGUUCAG
rnacentral:lncRNA from 1 species